rnacentral:lncRNA from 1 species
GUUCACAGACAUAAAUGAUGUGACCAAAGAGUCCAUCUCAUUGUUGUUUUGUAUAACUGCUUAGUACUAUCUCUUCUAACCACACCCUCAAAUUUAAAGUCAGCAAUUUUAUUUCCAUCUAUGCUGUAUUUUGUUAUGCAUUCCAUGUUUCCUAAGCUAUAGCCAUCACUUUUCAGCUGUGCACUUUGUACUGUAGUUAUGACCACCGCAGCUCUUGCUGCAGGGUUUCCUUCUCACAGAUGGCAGCUGCUUUUUCAAAUAUUACUGUGCUUUAUCCGCUUGUUUUUGGCCACCACAUCCACAUGCAUAUACCAAUUGCUUUGCUAAGGCUUUAUUCUAGCAUUACUACAUUCCUCAAGAAAAUUUGCUGUGUGGCAGAAGAGAGCAUGAAGAUUAUUAUUUCUAGCAGGGAACAAGGAUGUUAUUAAAGAGAAGAAAUGAUAAUAGCCCCAGAGAGUCUGUUUUUCUGAGAAUCCUGCUUACCUUGGCCUUAUAGUUGCUGUCUGUCAGCCGGAGGGAAGGAGGCUGUUGCUCAUUCUGUGCCAUCUCUGUUAGAUCUGCUGGAUUUGAGUCCUCUGAAAUAUUCAACAGUUGGCCCUGUGGCUGACAAUGGAGAGCCCAGUUCUGCCAGAGUGCUGGAGACCCUCUGCUCCGUGUCCAAGGAAGAAUGGAGGACAGGCAACAUCGCACUGUGUACAGAAGCAGACAGAGCAGCACCUUCUUGCUCCAGCCUGUGUGUCAGAGCUGCCAUCCACCUCAUGCGAACACCUACUGGGAAAUUCAGACCACCUGGGGAGGUAGCAAGCAAGGAGCAACGUGCAAGAAAAAGCCAUCACCUGCCACCUGCGGAGGUCAAUUUAUUCCCAUAACAAAGGACAAUAAACAGCAGCUGGUCUGGAAUAUAUCUGGGAAGAAACACAGGAAUGCAGGGAGUGAAACAGUGGAAACGUGCCUGGUAAUCUGUUACUUGUCAAAAAAAUUGAGGUAUUGUAUUUCCUCCAUCAUUUUGUUCCAAGGCUGAUUCAAGUUAUCUCAGCCACCACUGCUGCUAACAAAUAUUAAAUCUUGUAUAGUAAUGGUGCAUCAGCAAUCAGCUGGUCAAAAUAGCCAAUACAAUGUAUACAGUAUUUUAUCAUGAAGAUGUCAUUGCACUAGAAUCUCAAUGAAUUUACCUGCCUUUCUGCACAUGCCCCUUCCACAGAUCACUUGUAUGUAGCACUCCACUUAACAAAGCCAAGAAACAAGGGACACCAAAACAAGUAGCAGUGUGUUUUACAUAGCUCAGCUAUUGUAACUCCCUCUGCUACAGGCUUCUCACAUUCCAGCGGAUGAGUAUAGGUGCAGAAUACAGCCGUGCAAUUUAGUUCACCUGUUUAAAGGAAGCGUUAACCAUACCUACACCAUCAUAUCACAGUGCUAUCCCAUUCCUACUGGGGUCCAUUGUAAGAACACACUAUUCUACAGAUUUUUUUGUUUGUUUACUUCUAUGUCAUUUUAAAAAAUGAAAGACGAGCCCAGUUUGACGUAUUAUCAAUACACAAGAACAAAAAUCGUCCCAGAAAAAAAGAACACACAGAAUGCCAGAAGUCCUAUGAGCAUGUAACUGGACCAAACAUCUGUGUUUCAAGAAUGCAGCAGGAAGUGACCAUAUGCGUAAGGUCCUGAUUCUUUUGUUCAAAGCUGAAAAUGAAACUAUCACAGGAGUGGAGACAGUAGACACCCUCCUGGCUUCACAGGACUCUACAUAUAUUAGGAAUCCCCAUCAACCACUGAGCUGUCAUUUCAUUUGCAGGAAUUUGUAGCCUUGAACAUUAACUUGUUUUUUUUGUUUGUUAAUUUUGUGUAUUUGUUUGUUUAUAAUAGAGGAAUGCAAGCCAAAGGCCUACUAGUUGUUCGCUUAAGCUCUAAAAGUAGAAAUGCACAGCAGUAUUCAAAUAUAGACUUAUUUUGCUAGCAAAAGACCCUCUUGCAAAUACCUGCAAAUAAAGCAGAGCAGGCAGGGUUUUUUCUUGAAUCU